AUCAGUUACUGUCAAUGAAAUAAUUUAUUUAUCACUAAUGUAAUUGACAAUUGUCUUAAGAAACGGAAUUAUUAGCUGUAUCACUUGUGGUAUCCAAUAAUGUAUAUACCAACUGCCUUUCCUUUUCAACUUCUUAAUAUUACAUUAUAAGUAACUGCCUUCUUCCUUUAUUUUAGACCUGACAACAAUAUUAAUUGCAGCUUGUUCUGCUAUUGCAGCAGUUAUUUUCAUUAUUGGAGUAGCUGUUUACUGUGUCAGAAAAAAAGACACUUCUGGUUUGGCCAGUCCAGAGGCAAAUGUGGAUGUGUACCAGCCAUUUCAAGGCCCUAUGGGUGAACCUCCUCCUGUUCCACCACUUAAUCGUAUCAACAAAGAUAAAGAGUUGAAUAUUGAAUUGAAUAUACCAGGGACACAUUCUGCACCUCCCAACUAGCAGGGUGAAAGCAGGUUUUUUACAUGUAUGAUUUGGUAGCAGGAUCAUACACAUUUAUUACACUUCAACUGUUACUUCGCUAUGUUGCUUGGAUAUUUUUGUUGUCAUUUGAGGCUUACAAACUAAUAUGGACUUUGGACUCUUCAUCAGUGAAGGAGCUCGUUAUAUACCCCCCUUUGCUAAAGGGUACCCCCUCCACUGAUGAGAAUAGAUACUACACUUGAUCUUGGCCAAAAGGCAGAGAAGCAAUAGAAAUCGGUACACCCAAAAGAUCCAACACCUAAGCACAUGAAAAUGAAUGUGGUCUAUACUGUCCAUUGUAGUGAAGAGUGCUCAGAUAUAUACAUUGGGGAGACAAAAACAACCAUUCAGUAAGAGAAUGGCCCAACAUAGGACGGCAAACUCCCCAGGACAAUACUCCGCAGUCGAUCCAUAUCUAAAGUAAAAGGGACACUCCUUAGAGGACAAAUUUUAGACCAAGAUGGUUUGAAAGAUAUAUGAAGGAGGGAGGCCAUUUAUGCCAAAGUGGAAAAACCAUCCCUGAACAGAGGAAGGGGCCUGAGACAAUGCUUGUCAUCAACAUACAAUGUCGCUUUAACAUCCUUACCCAGCGGUUUCAUAACAAUUCACGCUUCCAGUCAUGUACAUUGAAAAAUUAACACCUGAUCAACGUACCAUUGUGACUGGAUCACACUUUCACACAUCUGUGAGUUUCAGCCAACACCAUCUAAAUAAAGUUCAAUGGAAGCAUUGUGA